GCCGAGGUGGCAGAGCAGUCAAAUGCACCAGUCUGUAAAACUGGUGGCCGAAAGGCCUACCUAGGUGCGAGUCCUAGCCUCGGCA
rnacentral:tRNA from 1 species